AGGAAACCUAUCCUCUGGGAUUUUUCAAGUCCUUCCAGCCCUGGAAGAAAACCUCUUGAGACGCUGAGAGCUCCACAACACACCUCUUCUGAACUCCAACCACUUCAAGAUUUCCAGUUGACGGUCUGCUCUGCUGGUCCUCUGUGCCACCAUAAACUUACCUGUCCGCCCUCCAACGACUCGUCCAAUUUCAACAAGCCAAGGGCUCUACAAACUGGAACCUCAGACCACCCUCCAACUCAAGCAGUGAGUUCAAUCGCACCUGGAUUCCUGGCCGCAGGACCCCCAAGCUGAGAUAACCCAGUUUCUGUCUCUCUGUUUUAAGUAAAGGAAAAUAAGCUUUCAAACUUUCACAAUCUCUCUGUGAGUGUUUCAGCAUGUGGGCAAGUAUUAGACCCACCAUGACAGAUUUGACAUUUAAAUAUUACUUCCCUAAGACUAGUUAACAGCUCACCAUAACAGGGAGGAUUUUCAAUAACUUUCUCUGUCAAGGCUUCACCCACGUCCUCAACGACAAGCCAUGUUGAAGACAAAAAAAGUGCAGAAGGCUGAGAUGAUCCCUUCAUCAACUGUUUGGGUUUGACACAUCACAAUGUCUUCUGCUUUCACAAUGGUUGCAGCUCUCCUGGUAAAAGCCAUUUUACUGUAAUGCUUUCUGCACUGAUUCUGGCCUGGUCACUCAGUCCAUACACCUGCUCUGCUCCACCCGUCCGCAGUCAGCUCUGACCGGAGUCACCUGUUUCCAGCACUUUAAAAACCCCAUCAGAUCAGUCCUCUGUGCCAGAUUAUCUCGAGCCAACCGGCUACGAAUAGUCAAGCAUCUGAAAGAGUACCUGACCGCCUAUCUGUUUCUGACCCGAUCUGCCUCCUGACUCCGAGCCUGCCUGACCCCUGUUUGAUUCUGCCUACCCUCUCUGCUCUGCCUCUGGAUCCCUGGAUCUCUGUGUCGUUCUGAUCGCCCUGCAUGCUCCCCUCUCUCUGGAUCUCUGACUCGGAAAACCUCCGCUAAACUGCCUGCCUCUCUGUCCCGGAUUUAACUGGUAAACCUCCCUCAAUCUGCCCGCCUGUCUCCUCCCUCAAUCUGCCCCCCUGUCUACCUGCAGCCUUUUUGCCCACACAUAUUAUCAGAUUAACACUUUCAAUAAACCACUCAAAACAUCA